rnacentral:rRNA from 1 species
UACGGAAGGGGCAAGCGUUGUUCGGAAUCAUUGGGCUAAAGGGCGCGCAGGUGGUUCUGUAUGUCUGCCGUGAAAGCAUACAGCUCAACUGUAUUGUGUCGGUAGAAACUGCAGGACUUGAGGCUGGGAGGGGCUGGUGGAAUUCCCUGUGUAGCGGUGAAAUGCGCAGAUAUCAGGAGGAACACCGGUGGCGAAGGCGGAUCUCUGGGCCAUUACUGACGCUGAGGAGCGAAAGCGUGGGGAGCAAACAGG